ensembl:lncRNA
AUUACAAAGGAGCCAGUUGCUCAGGGAACCAGGGAACCUUGUGGGAGGGGCCUCACUCCUCAGCUCAUGCAUAAAAGGAAAUUAAGACCAGACCCAAGUUUCUGGAAUUUUACAUAGAUUCUCAGAUCUGGGCUGAUGGCAAAAUAUCUUUAGACAACGAUGAAAGACAUGUCAUGAUCGUUUGGAAAACCCUGGGAGUCUUCUGUGUGCUCCAGCCUCACCGGUUUAUUGUUUGCUGAAUCAGUGCCCCCCAGCCCCCCGACUCAGACCAAGAGCCCUCCACGGGGAAGAAUCCCAGGCCUUAGGACCUCGCUGCUGCACCAUCAGUUACCUGAAAGUUCACACCCCUGCAGAAGCUACAACUGUGGGAUAGCCUGUGGACUUCCACAGACUGGGUCAGCCCACGGACCCAGGCAUCCUUUUUCUCCGUGUCUGGUUCCCAUAGUGAAGCAGCAUAUCCACUAGCUUUUGCUCGUUUUACAUCAAAUCCACAUAAAUGGCUCAGUGUAAUAAACAAUGACAACAACUCUGGAAUAAUCAUUAAAAUAUACUGGAAAAGCCUUCUGACGGCAAUAUUCCAAUACACUCGUUGUCAUCGUUGUUGUUGUUGCUGUUGUCAUCAUCGUUGCUGUCAUUGUCGUCCUAGUUCGGCAAAACUGUCGGAGAGUGAGCGAGUCGGCCUGACAGGGUUUCACCAUCGAGUGGGUUGUCUCCACGGAGGCCCUAAGAUAGCUGCAGAGUUGUACUCCAUCUGUGGCCUCUCGACGCCCCAUCCUGCUGCUGCUGCGCACAGCAGGUGCGCUUCCAAAGCCCAUGACGGGUUGGUCGUGUGGCCCCAGAAAUUCGCAGCACUGGACGGGGUACCCGGUGCGCGACACUCGCCGACUAAAGGAUGUCCACGUGGAUUCAUCUACUAACCUGAGAGCCAGCAUACUGGAGGCAUCCCGACACUGCUCCGCUGCAGAUCUUACCAUUAAAGACUCCUUACAUGAGGUGGUAAUUGUCUUCUUAAUGUAAUUAUGCCCAGAAGGGAAAUGUACCGUAGUAUUAACCAUUGGCAACUCUUCCUGUAUUAGUUUGUAUUUCAUCAAAUUAAGGACUUUUUUUUUUACAUUAUUUAAUUAAUUAAUUAAUUAAUUAAUUUAUUUAUU